CUGUAACGAAACGAAAUAAGCGUGAAAACUGUCAAAAGUGAAAUUGCAUGUCAACAAAAACAUCCAAGACUCCGCGGAAUCUGCUACAUUUUCUCGCUUUUAGAUGUUGGUUUGAAAGGCUUUGUAGGAACCAGACUGGUCGGUAGCACCGGUGCCAGCAACUAAGGUGAGCAAUAAUCUGAACAACGGAAGUGCGGUGGCUGGAAAUACCGGGAUUGAUGGACUUUUCUACGAACAAAGGUGGCAUCGCGGGACAGCUGGCCAUCACGAGGAAGUGUUGCCUCGAGGAAGUAUUGGGGAAGUUCAAUGAUGAUGAGCGACUGCAGAAAGUUGUAACUACCAAGAUUCCAGUGGACACCACCGCUUGUGAUCAACUAACCGGGCUCCAUCCGUAUCUGGUCUAAUGCAUGACAACGUACUUGGCCGAAGUAUCUCUUCCUACGGCCCCCCAUUCGACUGUCGCAGAACAGCUCUGCCGGCAAACCAACGGGCGAUCCAUGGCACAACAAAAGCAAACCAUUCCCGUGACGUAACUAUCACUUAUGGUCUGAUUCGUCCACUUCAGACGAAAAGUCGUUGGUUCUUAAGACUGAUCAGGUGGCGGGAUUUCAGAAUUCAAAACACGGUGGCAUCCGCGAGAAAAGGCCUCUUCAUCGACAAUCGUAAUCAGCGUCAUCGACAAUCAUGAACUUUGUAAAUGUGUGCUGACAGCUCUUAAAGAGUAUCAUCGGCAAUCGUUACUACCACUGGUCCCGGCAUAUAUACUCCAAUAGAAAGGGUUUGAGCUAAAAUGAUGAAGAAGUACAUUUAAAAACAAUCAGAAAAUAUCCAGAACUUGUUGCUGCGUCAAAACUCAAACAACUAGCUCCACAAUUUGGAACCGCAAGCAACUACAUCCAGAAGCCAGAACUGUCUGACUGCCAUUAUUGAAACCAUCCAAGCUGAUGUUUCUCAUGUAUUUAUGUUCCGGUUCAUUUAACAAAACAUAUAAUGUUGAUUCAAAUUGUAUAACUUUCGAGCCAUGACCCCGCUUUGACGCUGGACUACGCCAAGUUAAACUGCAAUCAAUUUGCCUAUCCUCAUCUGCAAUAGAUUCAACAGGGAAAAGUUACCAAGGAAUUCAAGACGUUCUCUUAAAAGGAUUUUGGAAAUGAUGAGAAAUGCCACGUUGAAAAAAUGUUAGAACAAAAAAGAAUCUAAGAUAAAUUUGAAUGGAACUACCCCCUUAAUAAUUCCGCACAAUGGCAAUAUGGCAGCGACGGAACGCGAAUCCGGAAACAAGGUCACUAAGCUUUCCGUUAUGGCCCAAAACCGCAGAACCGAAACGAUCGACGACCAAUAUAUUCUUUCAAUGAAAUAUAACCGGGUUUCAAAGUCUUUUAGUCGUCUCAUCAUCCGCUGCAGACAAAACAAAUAAAUUUUGAA